UGUUGGGUUAAGUCCCGCAACGAGCGCAACCCCUGCCCCUAGUUGCCACCGGGUCAUGCCGAGCACUCUAGGGGGACUGCCGGCGACGAGCCGGAGGAAGGUGGGGAUGACGUCAAGUCAUCAUGCCCCUUAUGGCCUGGGCUACACACAUGCUACAAUGGCCGGGACAACGGGCUGCGAGGCCGCGAGGCUGAGCCAAUCCCUAAAACCCGGUCCCAGUUCGGAUCGCAGGCUGCAACUCGCCUGCGUGAAGCCGGAAUCGCUAGUAACCGUCGAUCAGCAUCGCGACGGUGAAUACGUUCUCGGGCCUUGUACACACCGCCCGUCACGUCAUGGGAGUCGGCUUCACCCGAAGCCGGUGGCCUAACCCGCAAGGGAGGGAGCCGUCGAAGGUGAGGUCGGCGACUGGGACGAAGUCGUAACAAGGUAGCCGUACGGGAACGUGCGGCUGGAUCACCUCCUUUCUAAGGAGCA
rnacentral:rRNA from 1 species